UUGAUUUAAGAAAAUACAGGUCAUGAGCCACAGCAUUGAUUUACAGUCCCUAGUGAGUGAGGAUGGCGGGUUAAGGGAUGGUAUGAUCUUCCGGUUUUGCAGAUGGCAUUCAGAAGACCUGAUUGAACCCCAGGAGCCGUGAGAAGCCCUAGGUUCUGUUUUCUGGGGUGAUCUAAUGACACCUGACUGCUGUGUGGAAGUCACUUGCAAACCAGGAGUGGAGGUGAUCAAACUGAGAUCCAGACUAGUGAAGUCACAUGUGAUGAGUUGACAGUUACAUGCGAGUACCCACCUAGACCUGUCACGGGAGCUGAGUUCAUUCCUGGGUGGUGGCUGCUGAUGUGUCUGGUGUUCUGCGGUUCCACGUUGACCUUGUAAACACAGGGGCAGGGUAAUGAAGGAGAGAGGUUGUCACAGAACCCUUCUGAGUCUCUUAUUCUCAGCUGUGAGUCUGCAGCCAUCGAUACCACUGCAAAAGAAGCUUCCUUGCUCUUUACAGUCAGUGGCAGCAAGGAUUAUGGACUUUCACUGGCAUGAGCACGGCCCAUGGACUUCAGCAUGGUGUCUGGUGGCAGUACAGACCACAGAUAUCAACGUGGCCUCCUGCAGGAGCACAGACCACAGGUAUCCACGUGGACCUUGGGUAUCAACACAGUCAAUGGGCAGCACAGACCAUGGCACCAGCACACCCCACAGCUAUAACACGGAUCACUGAUAUCAAGAUAGAUGACCUCGGGGGCAGCAUGGAUCCUGGAGGUCUUUGAAGAGGCCCAAUCCAGAAAAUGAACCAUUCUCCAUCUUGGACAUCCUCUCAUUGCUCAGAGCCAGGGUGAUCAUGUGACUGGCUGGCAUGUUUGGGAGUAAAGCCUAUACAAGCUUCUAGGCUGCUGCAUACCACCCUGCCGGCCCUUGCUGACAACUGCACUCUCCCCUGUACACCAGGAAGCCUUCUCCCACACUUGCCACCACCAUGGCAUCUCUAGUUCUGCCUCUUUCCACUAUGCACCAGUCACUUCUUUCCUCCAUUUUUCCUACCUCUCCAUCACCUAUUUGUUCAUCGGCGAGGCAUUGCAAACUGCAGUGUGUCCCACGGUACAUUGUUUUACCCAAACAGCUUUACGUGCAAAUACUCAUUGCAAUGAGUCAUUGGCCUGGUUCAAGGUUUCUGGUUUCUGAGGCACUGUAAAUGCUGGACCAUCACCAAGACUCAUUAUGGAUAUCCUGCUGUUGCCCACAGUCAGGAUGAUCUCUCAGCUAGGCAGGGCAUCCAGGGGCAGGAUCCAUGAGAGCUCCAGGGGGCUGCACAUCUCCUGUCCUGGAUGCCUGCUGCACCUAGGCUCCUAGGGCAUGACCAUUGUCCUUGCAGCCUCUGAGCGGUGGUGCUGCUCAAAGCUCUCAUUCUUCCAGCAGGGCAAGCAGUGCCGGCUCCAGUCACUGUGACUCUGUGCUGCCAGAUCAUACCCUUCACUCAUUGAUCCUCCAUGGUGCUUCUCUGCAUAUCUGCUACAGGGUUUCAGCUGCAGCCUGGUAUAGGAUACCCGGAUUGGAGUUGACUUUAAUCCUCUAAGUGCAUCCGUACACACACACACACACACACACACACACACACACUAUUUUAAAAUCACAAUUAGUGUUAAUGACAAGGUCUUUAAAUUUAUAUUUAUAAGCACUCCUGGUGUUCAUUAUCAUGCAAAUAAGCAAGGGUUUUGGGAGAUUGGCCGGUGUGACUCUCCAGUUAGCAGCUGUUGGACUCUCUCCUCCCUUGUUGCCUUGCUCACCUGGCUGCUCUGAGAAGAAGAAAAAAAAACCCCUGUCAGUCAAACAUCUAACUGGGCCACUCCUAGGCCAGCAUCAGACAUCUAAAACACUCCAUGAAUGUGCUGAGACAACUAAGCAAAGAUUGUAAUUGAUUAUUGCUGCUCUUGAAGAAAUAAUCAACCUCAGCCAGGGCUGUUUGAAAUAAUUUGUACCAAACUUGGGUAUCGCAAGCCACCAAGAACACUGGAUGAUCCUGCAACCAUUUCCAGAGAGGGAGCAUGUGCCCUGUUCACCUAGCAGAGGGCCUAUUAUGACAGACGCUAAGAGAUAGACACCUGGACCAGAAAUGACAAGUGACUGUUGGAGCAUGAAUCCAGAACUUUGUCAUACCUUCUCCUAUCCCAGUGUCACCCAACUCUCCAACCCCCACAAUCACUAUUGUCAGCAGCAGACGGAAUCAACUCCCAAAAUAAAAUAAAUUAUUUUAUAAAUUA